UGGAUGGUAGUGUAUUGGACUACCAUGGCAGUCACGGGUAACGGAGAAUUAGGGUUCGAUUCCGGAGAGGGAGCCUGAGAAACGGCUACCACAUCUACGGAAGGCAGCAGGCGCGUAAAUUACCCAAUCCUGAUUCAGGGAGGUAGUGACAAGAAAUAACAACUCGGGCAUUUUUAAUGCUUCGAAUUUGCAAUGGGAACAAUCUAAAUCACUUAUCGAGGAACAAUUGGAGGGCAAGUCUGGUGCCAGCAGCCGCGGUAAUUCCAGCUCCAAUAGCGUAUAUUAAAGUUGUUGCAGUUAAAAAGCUCGUAGUUGAAUUUCUGAUUAUGAAUGUACUGGGUAACCGGUCCAUUUAUAGUCAUCCACAUGAGAACCUAUCUCGGCCUUCACUGGUCGGUUGGGGGAUCAUGUACUUUACUUUGAAAAAAUCAGAGUGUUUCAGGCAGGCGUUUGCAUGAAUACACAAGCAUGGAAUAAUGGAAUAGGACUAGGGUCCAUUUUAUUGGUUAUUGGACCAUAGUAAUGAUUAAUAGGGACAGUUGGGGGCAUUAGUAUUUAAUUGUCAGAGGUGAAAUUCUUGGAUUUAUUAAAGACUAACUUAUGCGAAAGCAUUUGCCAAGGAUGUUUUCAUUAAUCAAGAACGAAAGUUAGGGGAUCAAAGACGAUCAGAUACCGUC
rnacentral:rRNA from 1 species